rnacentral:ribozyme from 1 species
UGCUCAGCAACUCCUAUCCCUACCUCCUCGUGGUACUGGCCGGGGUACGAGUAACCUUGGGGAAGAUCGGGUAACCAACCCCCGGUGGGAACUUUGGUCGUAUGCUGACAGGGAAGG